ACCGAGUGACACAAUGAGACAUAGAUCGAGUGGCAUUUGAUAAUGUAAAGUAAAGUGACACUAGAGCUAGUGUGGGGCAAAGAACUAAUGUGAUGUAAAGAAUAAUGAUAAUGACUAAAGUGAAGUUAAAAUGGGACGUAAAGAACAUGAAUGCUAAAGAUAGCCAAAAGUAAAGAAUUGUAAAGAACAAUGAUUGCUAGAGUUAGCAACAUAAAGUGAUGUAAAGAACACUAGAGUUAGUGUAAUGACUUGAUUGAACUUAUAAUCCUUAGAGCUAAGGAUUCGAUCAUACUUGCUAUGAGUUCCGUGCUUGAGGGCAGUCGCACCCCCUCAAGCGAUGCGCUCCGGAGUUUUUGCAUCACGGGUUGGAGUAAACCCGAGGACGGUCCUAGCGGGUGAGUUCCUGCGAUGAUGGACUUAAUGUGAAGCAAGUUUAAUGUGGCGAAACCCCCGGGUUAGCCUUGAGAUUAAAGAACAAAGAGCAAAGAACAAAGAA
rnacentral:lncRNA from 1 species